rnacentral:rRNA from 1 species
GGUACCAGGGCGGCAGGCCUAACACAUGCAAGUCGAGCGGAUGACGGGAGCUUGCUCCUUGAUUCAGCGGCGGACGGGUGAGUAAUGCCUAGGAAUCUGCCUGGUAGUGGGGGACAACGUUUCGAAAGGAACGCUAAUACCGCAUACGUCCUACGGGAGAAAGCAGGGGACCUUCGGGCCUUGCGCUAUCAGAUGAGCCUAGGUCGGAUUAGCUAGUUGGUGGGGUAAUGGCUCACCAAGGCGACGAUCCGUAACUGGUCUGAGAGGAUGAUCAGUCACACUGGAACUGAGACACGGUCCAGACUCCUACGGGAGGCAGCAGUGGGGAAUAUUGGACAAUGGGCGAAAGCCUGAUCCAGCCAUGCCGCGUGUGUGAAGAAGGUCUUCGGAUUGUAAAGCACUUUAAGUUGGGAGGAAGGGCAGUAAGUUAAUACCUUGCUGUUUUGACGUUACCGACAGAAUAAGCACCGGCUAACUCUGUGCCAGCAGCCGCGGUAAUACAGAGGGUGCAAGCGUUAAUCGGAAUUACUGGGCGUAAAGCGCGCGUAGGUGGUUUGUUAAGUUGGAUGUGAAAGCCCCGGGCUCAACCUGGGAACUGCAUCCAAAACUGGCAAGCUAGAGUACGGUAGAGGGUGGUGGAAUUUCCUGUGUAGCGGUGAAAUGCGUAGAUAUAGGAAGGAACACCAGUGGCGAAGGCGACCACCUGGACUGAUACUGACACUGAGGUGCGAAAGCGUGGGGAGCAAACAAGAUUAGAUACCCUGGUAGUCCACGCCGUAACGAUGUCAACUAGCCGUUGGAAUCCUUGAGAUUUUAGUGGCGCAGCUAACGCAUUAAGUUGACCGCCUGGGGAGUACGGCCGCAAGGUUAAAACUCAAAUGAAUUGACGGGGCCCGCACAAGCGGUGGAGCAUGUGGUUUAAUCCAAAGCAACGCGAAGAACCUUACCAGGCCUUGACAUGCA